UGUCUUCAGGGCGGGGUGAGAUUCCCCACUGGCGGUAUAGUCCGCGACCAGAUACAGUUUUGUAUCUGCUGACUCGGUGCAACUCCGGGACCAACGGUUACAGUCCGGAUGGAAGAAGAUG
rnacentral:ncRNA from 1 species